GAGUUUGAUCAUGGCCAGGACGAACCCUGGCGGUGUGCUUAACACAUGCAAGUGGUGCGACGAACCCGGCUUCGGCCUGGGGCAAAGCCGCGAACGGGUGAGUAACACGUGGGUAAUCUGCCCCGAUGACCGGGACAACCCGAGGAAACUCGGGCUAAUACCGGAUGUGGUGCCCAGACAUAAGUCUGGUCACUAAAGGUAGCUUCGGCUUCCGCAUUGGGAGGGGCCCGCGGCCCAUUAGCUUGUUGGUGGGGUCAAGGCCUACCAAGGCAACGAUGGGUAGCUGGUCUGAGAGGACGAUCAGCCACACUGGGACUGAGACACGGCCCAGACUCCUACGGGAGGCAGCAGUGGGGAAUCUUGCGCAAUGCGCGAAAGCGUGACGCAGCAACACCGCGUGAGGGAAGACGGCCUUAGGGUUGUAAACCUCUUUCAGAUGGGACGAAGGUUCGGCGGUGAAUAGCCGAUCGGAUUGACGGUACCGUCAGAAGAAGCUCCGGCUAACUACGUGCCAGCAGCGCGGUAC
rnacentral:rRNA from 1 species